GGUUCUAUAGAGUAGUGGUUAGCAUGUCUGCUUUACACACAGAAGGUCCUGGGUUUGAGCCCCAGUGCAGCCA
rnacentral:tRNA from 1 species